rnacentral:sRNA from 1 species
CGGCUGCGUCGGGGUCGGUUCUGCAGCGCUGUAUCGUGUCGCCGGCAGGGAGGCAUAGCGCCUCUCUGAUCUUCCUGCAUGGCUCAGGUGAUUCUGGACAAGGAUUAAGAAUGUGGAUCAAGCAGGUUUUAAAUCAAGAUUUAACAUUCCAACACAUAAAAAUUAUUUAUCCAACAGCUCCUCCCAGUUACACUGUUGGACCAAGUUUUGCCAGAUCAUAUACUCCUAUGAAAGGAGGAAUCUCCAAUGUAUGGUUUGACAGAUUUAAAAUAACCAAUGACUGCCCAGAACACCUUGAAUCAAUUGAUGUCAUGUGUCAAGUGCUUACUGAUUUGAUUGAUGAAGAAGUAAAAAGUGGCAUCAAGAAGAACAGGAUAUUAAUAGGAGGAUUCUCUAUGGGAGGAUGCAUGGCAAUGCAUUUAGCAUAUAGAAAUCAUCAAGAUGUGGCAGGAGUAUUUGCUCUUUCUAGUUUUCUGAAUAAAGCAUCUGCUGUUUACCAGGCUCUUCAGAAGAGUAAUGGUGUACUUCCUGAAUUAUUUCAGUGUCAUGGUACUGCAGAUGAGUUAGUUCUUCAUUCUUGGGCAGAAGAGACAAACUCAAUGUUAAAAUCUCUAGGAGUGACCACGAAGUUUCAUAGUUUUCCAAAUGUUUACCAUGAGCUAAGCAAAACUGAGUUAGACAUAUUGAAGUUAUGGAUUCUUACAAAGCUGCCAGGAGAAAUGGAAAAACAAAAAUGAAUGAAUCAAGAGUGAUUUGUUAAUGUAAGUGUAAUGUCUUUGUGAAAAGAGAUUUUUACUGCCAAAUUAUAAUGAUAAUUAAAAUAUUAAGAAAUAACACUUUCCUGACUUUUUUAUUAUUAAAAUGCUUAUCACUGUAGACAGUAGCUAAUCUUAUUAAUGAAAAACAAUAGACAAACAUCUGUGCAUAAUUUUUCAGACACAAUUCUGUAAAUAUUUGGAAACCUUUUAAGUAUUUAAACUUUUAAAUUUUUGAAAUAAAGUAUUCUAAACUAAUAUAAAUAAGGACAAUGAAAAAACAUGAAAGGACUUAGCAUAGUGUUAUUUUAUCUUUUCUACAACUUUGUUUAAAUUACCUUUCCAAAGAUAUUUGUGUUUAUGUAAUUUUCCACGGAAUAACAUUAAUACUCUAGGUUUAUAAACCGGUUUCGCAUUAUUUCAUUUGAUCAUCACAAGAGCUUUGUGAAGUAAGCCGAGAAGUUGUUACUGGUAUUUAAUAAUAGCAAUAGAGGAGUUAAAGACUUUCCCACAGCUUGCAGGUCAAGACAAGAAAUUCAGGUCUCCUAAUUCUCAGUGGAGCUCUAUUUCUGUUAACCCAAAUUGCUGCUCUGUUUUAGGUCUCAAUUUCAUCUGUAAAAUGAUAUUAAUAGUACUUAUCCCAUUGGAUUUUUGUUGAGAUUUAAAUAAAUAGCCAAAAGCCAAUACAUAAUAAACACUCAAUAAAGAUUAACCAUAAGGAGAGUCAUGAUCUAGUUCCAGGAAUACAUUGUUAGAUGACUGAAAAAUUGUAUUACUUCAAUGAAAAUACUAUAAAUAAUAACAUUUUCAUAUAUUAGUUGGUUCUCAUGCAUACAUAAUCUAAUUUUAUUUGAUCCUCACAACUUUUUUAUUAAGUAUACAUUAUCCCUAUUUGUAUAAAUAGAAUCAUACAAUACCUGCCUGCUUUCAUUCAACAAAAUUAUCAUGAGAUUUUUCCAUGUUGUGUACAUCAAUAGUUCAUCUAUUUUAUUGCUCAGUAAUAUUCCAUUGUGUGGAUGUAUCACUAUUUGUUUACACAUUCACCACUGAUAUAUAAGUUGCUUCCAGUGUGAGGCUGUUAUAAAUAAAGCUGCUAUGAAUAUUCAUGUAAGA